rnacentral:rRNA from 1 species
CGGGACACGUGGUAUCCUGUCUGAAUAUGGGGGGACCAUCCUCCAAGGCUAAAUACUCCUGACUGACCGAUAGUGAACCAGUACCGUGAGGGAAAGGCGAAAAGAACCCCGGCGAGGGGAGUGAAAAAGAACCUGAAACCGUGUACGUACAAGCAGUGGGAGCACGCUUAGGCGUGUGACUGCGUACCUUUUGUAUAAUGGGUCAGCGACUUAUAUUCUGUAGCAAGGUUAACCGAAUAGGGGAGCCGAAGGGAAACCGAGUCUUAACUGGGCGUUAAGUUGCAGGGUAUAGACCCGAAACCCGGUGAUCUAGCCAUGGGCAGGUUGAAGGUUGGGUAACACUAACUGGAGGACCGAACCGACUAAUGUUGAAAAAUUAGCGGAUGACUUGUGGCUGGGGGUGAAAGGCCAAUCAAACCGGGAGAUAGCUGGUUCUCCCCGAAAGCUAUUUAGGUAGCGCCUCGUGAAUUCAUCUCCGGGGGUAGAGCACUGUUUCGGCAAGGGGGUCAUCCCGACUUACCAACCCGAUGCAAACUGCGAAUACCGGAGAAUGUUAUCACGGGAGACACACGGCGGGUGCUAACGUCCGUCGUGAAGAGGGAAACAACCCAGACCGCCAGCUAAGGUCCCAAAGUCAUGGUUAAGUGGGAAACGAUGUGGGAAGGCCCAGACAGCCAGGAUGUUGGCUUAGAAGCAGCCAUCAUUUAAAGAAAGCGUAAUAGCUCACUGGUCGAGUCGGCCUGCGCGGAAGAUGUAACGGGGCUAAACCAUGCACCGAAGCUGCGGCAGCGACGCUGAUGCGUUGUUGGGUAGGGGAGCGUUCUGUAAGCCUGCGAAGGUGUGCUGUGAGGCAUGCUGGAGGUAUCAGAAGUGCGAAUGCUGACAUAAGUAACGAUAAAGCGGGUGAAAAGCCCGCUCGCCGGAAGACCAAGGGUUCCUGUCCAACGUUAAUCGGGGCAGGGUGAGUCGACCCCUAAGGCGAGGCCGAAAGGCGUAGUCGAUGGGAAACAGGUUAAUAUUCCUGUACUUGGUGUUACUGCGAAGGGGGGACGGAGAAGGCUAUGUUGGCCGGGCGACGGUUGUCCCGGUUUAAGCGUGUAGGCUGGUUUUCCAGGCAAAUCCGGAAAAUCAAGGCUGAGGCGUGAUGACGAGGCACUACGGUGCUGAAGCAACAAAUGCCCUGCUUCCAGGAAAAGCCUCUAAGCAUCAGGUAACAUCAAAUCGUACCCCAAACCGACACAGGUGGUCAGGUAGAGAAUACCAAGGCGCUUGAGAGAACUCGGGUGAAGGAACUAGGCAAAAUGGUGCCGUAACUUCGGGAGAAGGCACGCUGAUACGUAGGUGAAGUCCCUCGCGGAUGGAGCUGAAAUCAGUCGAAGAUACCAGCUGGCUGCAACUGUUUAUUAAAAACACAGCACUGUGCAAACACGAAAGUGGACGUAUACGGUGUGACGCCUGCCCGGUGCCGGAAGGUUAAUUGAUGGGGUCAGCGCAAGCGAAGCUCUUGAUCGAAGCCCCGGUAAACGGCGGCCGUAACUAUAACGGUCCUAAGGUAGCGAAAUUCCUUGUCGGGUAAGUUCCGACCUGCACGAAUGGCGUAAUGAUGGCCAGGCUGUCUCCACCCGAGACUCAGUGAAAUUGAACUCGCUGUGAAGAUGCAGUGUACCCGCGGCAAGACGGAAAGACCCCGUGAACCUUUACUAUAGCUUGACACUGAACAUUGAGCCUUGAUGUGUAGGAUAGGUGGGAGGCUUUGAAGUGUGGACGCCAGUCUGCAUGGAGCCGACCUUGAAAUACCACCCUUUAAUGUUUGAUGUUCUAACGUUGACCCGUAAUCCGGGUUGCGGACAGUGUCUGGUGGGUAGUUUGACUGGGGCGGUCUCCUCCUAAAGAGUAACGGAGGAGCACGAAGGUUGGCUAAUCCUGGUCGGACAUCAGGAGGUUAGUGCAAUGGCAUAAGCCAGCUUGACUGCGAGCGUGACGGCGCGAGCAGGUGCGAAAGCAGGUCAUAGUGAUCCGGUGGUUCUGAAUGGAAGGGCCAUCGCUCAACGGAUAAAAGGUACUCCGGGGAUAACAGGCUGAUACCGCCCAAGAGUUCAUAUCGACGGCGGUGUUUGGCACCUCGAUGUCGGCUCAUCACAUCCUGGGGCUGAAGUAGGUCCCAAGGGUAUGGCUGUUCGCCAUUUAAAGUGGUACGCGAGCUGGGUUUAGAACGUCGUGAGACAGUUCGGUCCCUA